AACGAACGCUGGCGGCAGGCCUAACACAUUCAAGUCUAGCGCCCCGCAAGGGGACCGGCAGACCGGUGAGUAACGCGUGGGAACGUACCUUUUGGUUCGGAACAACUCCGGGAAACUGGAGCUAAUUCCGGAUAAGCCCUCACGGGGAAAGAUUUAUCGCCGAAAGAUUGGCCCGCGUCUGAUUAGCUAGUUGGUGAGGUAACGGCUCACCAAGGCGACGAUCAGUAGCUGGUCUGAGAGGAUGAUCAGCCACACUGGGACUGAGACACGGCCCAGACUCCUACGGGAGGCAGCAGUGGGGAAUAUUGGACAAUGGGCGCAAGCCUGAUCCAGCCAUGCCGCGUGAGUGAUGAAGGCCUUAGGGUUGUAAAGCUCUUUUGUCCGGGAAGAUAAUGACUGUACCGGAAGAAUAAGCCCCGGCUAACUUCGUG
rnacentral:rRNA from 1 species